rnacentral:rRNA from 1 species
UACGUAGGGUGCAAGCGUUGUCCGGAAUUAUUGGGCGUAAAGAUCUCGUAGGCGGUUUGUUGCGUCGGCUGUGAAAUCCCGAGGCUCAACCUCGGGUCUGCAGUCGAUACGAGCAAACUAGAGUGUUGCAGGGGAGACUGGAAUUCCUGGUGUAGCGGUGAAAUGCGCAGAUAUCAGGAGGAACACCGGUGGCGAAGGCGGGUCUCUGGGCCGAUACUGACGCUGAGGAGCGAAAGCGUGGGGAGCGAACAGG